CUUUUUCCGUGUUUACAUAGCCUGAUGCAAACACGAGGGUAGGUUGGGAGAAUUCGAGACGGUUAUGCAAACCCGAGACGAAGUCGAGGGUUUGCAUAACCAUCGAGAAUUCUCCCAACCUGCCCGAUGAAUCAUAAACUAUGUGUUCUUUGAGGAGAAAGGGUGCAUGUCUGUCAAAAGGUCAACUGGACGCAAAACAAUUAGAAAAAGAAUUGGUAUGGAAAUGAUAUCAAGAUGAGAUUUUUGAAAAACUGCAGGAAUAUACUUGCUGAAAGACUUUGUUUUGACACUUUAAAUGAUGUUUGAUUAGCUGCUUCGACGUGCCGGCACUUCAGCAUCACCGACGAAAAAAUUCACAAAGCCACAAAUAACACAUGAAAGUAUUGGUCGUAUGAACUCCGUUUCAUGGAUAAGAAGGUGGAAUUCAUGUUCAUAGAGAUUUUUUAUUGAACUGGUAUCUGGUAACAAUAUCAAACUGAUAGAAGAUAAUUUUAUGCGAGCGAUGCAAGAACUGCAAUGACAACAAACCGUACGAAAAUAUUCCCAAAGCUACAAAUAAAGACCUUUGGUCGGAUAAAUUACGUUUAAUAAAUAAGCUGGUAUUCAUAUUUUUAGGUUAAACUAGUAGCUUGUUUAUCGUGUACUUGUAUGUAACGAAUUUAUAAAGAGACUCAUUAUGAACAAUCGUUGAACUGAAAGAAAUCUCGAUUCUCAAGCGCAAAUCGACAUAUUCUUGUAGUACUUUUCUUAAGUAGUAUCUCAAUAAAAUGCAAAAUACUCA